UAAAAUCUUGUGUGUGAAGGUUCAACCGGAGACAUCAGUGACAGCAGAUUAUGCAGGCACUAAUUAGGAUGAGAAUGACCCCUCCGUCUUUCGUUUAAAUGAUAAAGUUGCAAAUCAGUUACAAGGAGAGUAUCAACUUACUAAUGGUUACAGCCCUGCUAGAGCUCCUCAAGUCAUGCAUAAUAACUGGGAUACAUAUAUAACCGAAGAUGAUUUCAUAUUCAUGUCGGAAAA